rnacentral:rRNA from 1 species
UACGAGGGGUCCUAGCGUUGUUCGGAAUCAUUGGGGCGUAAAGGGUGUGUAGGUGGCUAUGUAAGUCAGGUGUGAAAGCCCCGGGCUCAACCCGGGAAGUGCAUCUGAUACUGCGUAGCUUGAGUACCGAAGAGGAUAGUGGAAUUCCAGGUGUAGUGGUGAAAUACGUAGAUAUCUGGAGGAACACCGGUGGCGAAGGCGGCUAUCUGGUCGAGUACUGACACUGAGACACGAAAGCAUGGGGAUCAAACAGG